AUUUAUCCUGCAAAUAUGAUAUAUUCCAUUUGUUCUGUCCAUUAUUACUGCACUACCUUAUUUAAUGUUGCACAUAGUAUGUGUUAAUCAAAACCUUUUCAAUUCAUUUAUUUUUAUUCUCAAAAUAAGUCUAUAAUUUGUUGCAAUAACUACUUGGAUGAAGAAUUAUGAUUCCUGACUUGAAAUGACACAACAAUAUUUCCGUCCUGCUUCCAUUACAAUCUCUAUUUGAUUUCACAUACCGGUACCUUUUCUCUAAGCCCUUUGUCAAGGAUCCAGAUUUAUGUUCCUUCCACACCAUUGUCUUCAAAAGGGAGAAGCUAUCUAGAGAAUUUAACUAUUCUCGACCUACAACUCUAAGGGGGUUUACGACAUGUUUUGUACACAGUUGUAAUUAUUGAAAUGAUAGGUGUUACAUUCUCGUUGCCCAAUCAUAUUUCUGCUAUGUAGUCAUAAAAAUUGGGAGAACUUUAAUGACCUAGGGUGUCAGACUACUGACGUUACAAUGACUUUGAAAUGUGAAUCAUUUGCUUAUAAAACUGCUUUUGUAUCCACUGUACAACACUGUGCCGUUAGACAUUUUUAUAUCCAAAGCAGACAGAAUGGAAUGAGCUUAUACUUUUAAGUUUUUCUUAACUUAGGAUGUGCACUUAACUUGAAAAUAUAACCGUAAUUGUUGUCUUCUGAAUUUGAUACUAUAGAUGGUCUUGGUUCACUGUACUCUGAUAUAAUUUCCAUUUGUUGUAUAUCUGUUUAAUGUCAUAAGGCUUUGUUAUUAUGUCUUUAUCACCUUACUUUAUUGAGGACAUUGUUUUCAUAUUCAUUAAAAAUGUAUGUACAUGUUACUUUUUAUUCUGCUCCUAAUCAGCAAUUCUGGUGCAAUAAUCUACUCAUAGCAAAGGAGAAAAUUAACUGAUAUUUAAUGUUGAACUGGGAGCGUUAUUUUUGAUACACCAUUAAUUUCGUUUUCUGAAGUGAAUAUUUAAUAGAGUAAUGUUUUAAGGACAUAGGUGGUUGAAGUACUGCACUAGUCUCAUUGAAGUUCAAUGCCUGUUUCUCAAAGAUGUCUGAAAAACACUGGUGAAAUGUAAUUUCAUGGGAUGGAAAGAGGGAUAUAUUGAAGAAUCCAAUCAGCUUUAUUAAAACAUGAUAUAAAACAG
rnacentral:lncRNA from 1 species